rnacentral:rRNA from 1 species
AUGAGCAAUGAUUGGGAGGAUAUGUUUCCUCUUGUUAAUAUGAAAAAGCUCGUUAGGGAGGUCUCUGACCACAAUGCUCUCCUAUUAUACUAUGAUAAUCAUGUUAUUAGAGCUCCACAAAAAAGUGAGUUUAGAUUUGAGCUGAGCUGGUUAAAAUCUGACGAUUUUGUUCCUCUAGUUAGCAAGAUUUGGAAUCAAAAUGUGAAUGCUACCGAUCCUAUUGAUAUUCUAAAUAUCAAACUAAAAAGAUUUAAGAAGUUUUUUAAAGGCUGGGGAUCAAAUAAAUUUGGUCAUGAGAAGAAAAGAAAGCAGGAGAUUAGAGAAGAGCUUGCUUUUAUUGAAAAGUUAGAAGAGGAAGGAAAUAUAGGCAAUGAAUUGUUUUGUAGAAAAACUGAUCUCCUUGUGGAGAUGAAUGAAAUACUUGUCAAUGAGGAACUUUUUCUGCUGCAACAAUCUAAUGAGAGAUGGUUGCUUGGGGGGAUCGAAACACCGCUUAUUACCAAAAAAUAG